GAUGAGCGCUGGCGGCGUGCCUAAUACAUGCAAGUCGAGCGAACGGACGAGAAGCUUGCUUCUCUGAUGUUAGCGGCGGACGGGUGAGUAACACGUGGAUAACCUACCUAUAAGACUGGGAUAACUUCGGGAAACCGGAGCUAAUACCGGAUAAUAUUUUGAACCGCAUGGUUCAAAAGUGAAAGACGGUCUUGCUGUCACUUAUAGAUGGAUCCGCGCUGCAUUAGCUAGUUGGUAAGGUAACGGCUUACCAAGGCAACGAUGCAUAGCCGACCUGAGAGGGUGAUCGGCCACACUGGAACUGAGACACGGUCCAGACUCCUACGGGAGGCAGCAGUAGGGAAUCUUCCGCAAUGGGCGAAAGCCUGACGGAGCAACGCCGCGUGAGUGAUGAAGGUCUUCGGAUCGUAAAACUCUGUUAUUAGGGAAGAACAUAUGUGUAAGUAACUGUGCACAUCUUGACGGUACCUAAUCAGAAAGCCACGGCUAACUACGUGCCAGCAGCCGCGGUAAUACGUAGGUGGCAAGCGUUAUCCGGAAUUAUUGGGCGUAAAGCGCGCGUAGGCGGUUUUUUAAGUCUGAUGUGAAAGCCCACGGCUCAACCGUGGAGGGUCAUUGGAAACUGGAAAACUUGAGUGCAGAAGAGGAAAGUGGAAUUCCAUGUGUAGCGGUGAAAUGCGCAGAGAUAUGGAGGAACACCAGUGGCGAAGGCGACUUUCUGGUCUGUAACUGACGCUGAUGUGCGAAAGCGUGGGGAUCAAACAGGAUUAGAUACCCUGGUAGUCCACGCCGUAAACGAUGAGUGCUAAGUGUUAGGGGGUUUCCGCCCCUUAGUGCUGCAGCUAACGCAUUAAGCACUCCGCCUGGGGAGUACGACCGCAAGGUUGAAACUCAAAGGAAUUGACGGGGACCCGCACAAGCGGUGGAGCAUGUGGUUUAAUUCGAAGCAACGCGAAGAACCUUACCAAAUCUUGACAUCCUUUGACAACUCUAGAGAUAGAGCCUUCCCCUUCGGGGGACAAAGUGACAGGUGGUGCAUGGUUGUCGUCAGCUCGUGUCGUGAGAUGUUGGGUUAAGUCCCGCAACGAGCGCAACCCUUAAGCUUAGUUGCCAUCAUUAAGUUGGGCACUCUAAGUUGACUGCCGGUGACAAACCGGAGGAAGGUGGGGAUGACGUCAAAUCAUCAUGCCCCUUAUGAUUUGGGCUACACACGUGCUACAAUGGACAAUACAAAGGGCAGCGAAACCGCGAGGUCAAGCAAAUCCCAUAAAGUUGUUCUCAGUUCGGAUUGUAGUCUGCAACUCGACUACAUGAAGCCGGAAUCGCUAGUAAUCGUAGAUCAGCAUGCUACGGUGAAUACGUUCCCGGGUCU
rnacentral:rRNA from 1 species